GACGAACGCUGGCGGCGUGCCUAAUACAUGCAAGUCGAGCGGACGAAUCGAAAGCUUGCUUUUGAUUCGUUAGCGGCGGACGGGUGAGUAACACGUGGGCAACCUGCCCUGUAGACGGGGAUAACACCGAGAAAUCGGUGCUAAUACCGGAUAACACGAAAUGUCGCAUGACGUUUCGUUGAAAGACGGCGCAAGCUGUCGCUACAGGAUGGGCCCGCGGCGCAUUAGCUAGUUGGUGAGGUAACGGCUCACAAGGCGACGAUGCGUAGCCGACCUGAGAGGGUGAUCGGCCACACUGGGACUGAGACACGGCCCAGACUCCUACGGGAGGCAGCAGUAAGGAAUCUUCCGCAAUGGACGAAAGUCUGACGGAGCAACGCCGCGUGAGCGAAGAAGGCCUUCGGGUCGUAAAGCUCUGUUGUUAGGGAAGAACAAGUAACGCAGUAACUGGCGUUACCGUGACGGUACCUAACGAGAAAGCCACGGCUAACUACGUG
rnacentral:rRNA from 1 species